ACUCAAAUGAAUUGACGGGGGCCCGCACAAGCGGCGGAGCAUGCGGAUUAAUUCGAUGCAACGCGAAGAACCUUACCUGGGUUUGACAUGGGCGGAAAUCUCUCAGAGAUGAGAGGUCCUUCGGGGCCGUUCACAGGUGGUGCAUGGCUGUCGUCAGCUCGUGUCGUGAGAUGUUGGGUUAAGUCCCGCAACGAGCGCAACCCUCGUUCGAUGUUGCCAGCGGGUUAUGCCGGGGACUCAUCGAAGACUGCCGGGGUCAACUCGGAGGAAGGUGGGGAUGACGUCAAGUCAUCAUGCCCCUUAUGUCCAGGGCUUCACGCAUGCUACAAUGGCCGGUACAAAGGGCUGCGAUGCCGCAAGGUGGAGCGAAUCCCAUAAAGCCGGUCUCAGUUCGGAUCGGGGUCUGCAACUCGACCCCGUGAAGUCGGAGUCGCUAGUAAUCGCAGAUCAGCAACGCUGCGGUGAAUACGUUCCCGGGCCUUGUACACACCGCCCGU
rnacentral:rRNA from 1 species